AGCUUGCUUUUAAGUCAAUAUCUCUUUAAUGGUCUUUGUUGUGUAUGUGACAAAGUCCUGAAGUUCUUCCCUUUAGUUUUUCAGUCAAUCUGACCACACUGCAUAUUUAGACUGUUUUCCCUCUUAGUAAAAAAAACUAUGUCUCUUAUGUAACACACAUUUAUGUGACAAUAGGAUGAAUCCCAAAAUACUGUUAAAUAUCCACAUUUCCUUUUCUUACUUCCUCAUCCCUACCAAUUUAAUAAUGAGGCCAUUAACCAGCAACUUAAAAUAAUUCCGAUUCACCUUGAACUCUACAUGUGCUCUAUAGAAAUGAAAUGAAUGUAUACAGUAAAGUACACAUGAUCUCUGCAUAGCGCUCCCUUCUCCUCUUCCUAUCCAAUCGGUGGUGUCAGAGAUCAUGAUGUACGUGCUGAUCAUGGUGCUGCAGCUGUGGAUGUUUGUGGUGCUGAUCCACUGCUUACAACAAGAUCUGGGCUGAACACGAGGCAUAGGACGCCCGCAAAACCUUGAGGGCCCAAGAACUGGCCCUAAUAAAUGAACCUUUAGACUCAAAGGACAAUUGUGAUGGAGUGCUUCUGGAGUGACUUGUUACGGUAAACAUCAAAGGUGGAGAACUCUGUCACAAGCAAUUGUUACCACCACACUAGUAGGCUAUUACAUCAUAGAAACAUCAUUUGAAUGUCUUAGCAUAGUGUGCAACACAUGCGGUUUACAAUGUACUUGAUUUACUGUACGAGGUAGUUGCAGCUGGCGUGAGUGGUGAUUAGAUUGACAGGUGGUGCCGAACAGCCUUAGUGUGUCAACUCAACAGAGAAUGUCAUCACGUGAUGGAUCAACAGUUCUGACAAAGCUCUGAUUACAGAUGGUUCCACCUAAGCUACAUAGAACGCUUUGGCAGGAACAACCAUGCAUCUACAUAGAUAGAUCUCAUCUACGACCAUGUUGUUAAAGUUUAUUUUAAUCGCUUUGGUGCUAUUUUCACAACUCUUAAUCCAAAACUCCAAGCUGAUCACACAGCAAGUCUUUCAUUCAAAACCUGUCAUUAUGCAU